UGGGGUGUGGCUCCAUGGUAGAGCACUUGCCUAGAGUGUGCAAGGCCCUGGGUUCCAUCUCCAGCAUCUCAA
rnacentral:tRNA from 1 species